CCUGGCCCUUGGGGUGUUGCGGGUGUGGCUGCUGUGUCACAUGUGUUUCAAUAGGUGGAAGAGAGGAGAGGCUAUGAUUAUGCUCAGUGUUUUGACCCAGGAACAUCUGAAUGAUCAGUAGCCUAACAUU